AUUGGUGGUUAUGACGUUGAGGAUCCACCUGUUCCCAUCCCGAACACAGAAGUUAAGCUCAUUGGUGCCGAAAAUACUUGGCUGGAAGCGGCCCGGGAAGAUAGGUCAGUGCCAAUA
rnacentral:rRNA from 1 species